GACUCUGUGGCGCAACGGUAGCGCGUCUGACUCCAGAGAUCAGAAGGUUGCGUGUUCAAAUCAUGUCAGGGUCA
rnacentral:tRNA from 1 species